GACGAACGCUGGCGGCGUGCUUAACACAUGCAAGUCGAACGGAAAGGCCCUGCUUUUGUGGGGUGCUCGAGUGGCGAACGGGUGAGUAACACGUGAGUAACCUGCCCUUGACUUUGGGAUAACUUCAGGAAACUGGGGCUAAUACCGGAUAGGAGCUCCUGCUGCAUGGUGGGGGUUGGAAAGUUUCGGCGGUUGGGGCUGGACUCGCGGCUUAUCAGCUUGUUGGUGGGGUAGUGGCUUACCAAGGUUUUGACGGGUAGCCGGCCUGAGAGGGUGACCGGCCACAUUGGGACUGAGAGACGCCCCAGACUCCUACGGGAGGCAGCAGUGGGGAAUAUUGCACAAUGGGCGGAAGCCUGAUGCAGCAACGCCGCGUGCGGGAUGACGGCUUUCGGGUUGUAAACCGCUUUCGCCUGUGACGAAGAGUGAGUGACGGUAAUGGGUAAAGAAGCACCGGCUAACUACGUG
rnacentral:rRNA from 1 species